rnacentral:rRNA from 1 species
AGGCUUNGACCAGACCUGUCCGCGGACGCUCACGGGUUNUCCCCCGUGCACUCGGCCGCGAUCAGGCCAGCAUCGGUUCCGGCGGUCGGAUAAAGGCCCUGGGAAUGUGGCUCCCCUCUGGGGAGUGUUAUAGCCCGGGGUGCCAUGCGGCCAGCCGGGACCGAGGACCGCGCUUCGGCAAGGAUGCUGGCGUAAUGGUCGUAAGCGGCCCGUCUUGAAACACGGACCAAGGAGUCUAACAUUUAUGCGAGUGUUUGGGUGUCAAACCCAUGCGCGCAAUGAAAGUGAACGGAGGUGGGAGCCCUCAAGGGCGCACCAUCGACCGAUCCUGAAGUUUACGGAUGGAUUUGAGUAUGAGCAUAACUGUUGGGACCCGAAAGAUGGUGAACUAUGCCUGAAUAGGGUGAAGCCAGAGGAAACUCUGGUGGAGGCUCGCAGCGGUUCUGACGUGCAAAUCGAUCGUCAAAUUUGGGUAUAGGGGCGAAAGACUAACGAACCAUCUAUAGCU